rnacentral:rRNA from 1 species
UACGAAGGGUGCAAACGUUGCUCGGAAUCAUUGGGCGUAAAGCGCACGUAGGCGGCUUGCCAAGUCGGACGUGAAAUCCCUCAGCUCAACUGAGGACGUGCAUCCGAAACUGGCGAGCUUGAGUACUGAAGAGGAUCGCGGAAUUCCCGGUGUAGAGGUGAAAUUCGUAGAUAUCGGGGAGGAACACCAGGUGGCGAAGGCGGCGAUCUGGGCAGAUACUGACGCUGAGGUGCGAAAGCGUGGGGAGCAAACAGG